CAGUAACGGCGAGUGAAGCGGCAACAGCUCAAAUUUGAAAUCUGGCUCCUUCGGGGCCCGAAUUGUAAUUUGUAGAGAGUGCUUCGGGCGAGACCUCGGUCUAAGUCCAUUGGAACAUGGUGUCAUAGAGGGUGAGAAUCCCGUAUGCGACCGUGGCUCGAGCCCAUGUGAAGCCUCUUCGACGAGUCGAGUUGUUUGGGAAUGCAGCUCAAAAUGGGUGGUAAAUUUCAUCUAAAGCUAAAUACUGGCUGGAGACCGAUAGCGCACAAGUAGAGUGAUCGAAAGAUGAAAAGCACUUUGGAAAGAGAGUCAAACAGUACGUGAAAUUGUUGAAAGGGAAGCGCUUGCAACCAGACCUGCCCGUAGGCGAUCAGCCGCUGUUCUCAGCGGUGUACUCGCUCUGCGAUCAGGCCAGCAUCGGUUUCGGCGGUUGGAUAAAGGCCUUGGGAAUGUAGCUUCCCUUCGGGGGAGUCUUAUAGCCCUCGGUGCAAUGCGGCCAGCCGGGACCGAGGACCGCGCUCCGGCUAGGAUGCUGGCGUAAUGGUUGUAAGCGACCCGUCUUGAAACACGGACCAAGGAGUCUAACAUCUAUGCGAGUGUUUGGGUGUCAAACCCAUACGCGGAAUGAAAGUGAACGGAGGUGAGAACCCUCAAGGGCGCAUCAUCGACCGAUCCAGAUGUCUUCGGAUGGAUUUGAGUAUGAGCAUAGCUGUUGGGACCCGAAAGAUGGUGAACUAUGCCUGAAUAGGGUGAAGCCAGAGGAAACUCUGGUGGAGGCUCGCAGCGGUUCUGACGUGCAAAUCGAUCGUCAAAUUUGGGUAUAGGGGCGAAAGACUAAUC
rnacentral:rRNA from 1 species